rnacentral:rRNA from 1 species
GACGAACGCUGGCGGCGUGCUUAACACAUGCAAGUCGAACGAUGAAGCCGGAGCUUGCUCUGGUGAAUUAGUGGCGAACGGGGGAGUAACACGUGAGUAACCUGCCCUUGACCCUGGGAUAACUGCGGGAAACUGUAGCUAAUACCGGAUACGACCAUCGGAGGCAUCUCCUGGGGGUGGAAAGAAUUUCGGUCAAGGAUGGACUCGCGGCCUAUCAGCUAGUUGGUGAGGUAAAGGCUCACCAAGGCGACGACGGGUAGCCGGCCUGAGAGGGUGACCGGCCACACUGGGACUGAGACACGGCCCAGACUCCUACGGGAGGCAGCAGUGGGGAAUAUUGCACAAUGGGCGCAAGCCUGAUGCAGCAACGCCGCGUGAGGGAUGACGGCCUUCGGGUUGUAAACCUCUUUUAGCAGGGAAGAAGCGAAAGUGACGGUACCUGCAGAAGAAGCACCGGCUAACUACGUGCCAGCCGCCGCGGUAA